GUCUGCAACAUACACAUAUUACAGGACUAACUUUGGUUGUGCAAUUUCAGUUUAUUUCUGCAUCAAGAUAAUAUGUUUGUCAUCUUGAACUGAAUCAAUCAACAUGUUGAUUAUAAUACAUAAAUUUACACUUAAUGAAGCGUCAAGUGAUAGAGUUAAAGUCAUGCAAUCCCAGUUGGAUACUUAAUACGAUACUUCAUACGUUUUUCACAGACAUGUUGCUUGUUUUAUUCACGUUGACCUGGCAACAUGUGCUGAGCUGUUGCAGUCUGCUGUUCAGUCAGACACCAGCUUCCUGCUGUCUUUAAUACAAAAACUAAUCGUUAACGUCGGAGUUUUUCUUAGUCUAAAGAAUAUGGAAAGCUGCACAAAAUUGUGGACUGAUGAGGAGGUCCGGGCAUUUCUUUCGAUUUACGCAGACGAAGAGAUCCAGGGGGACUUUGAGUCGUCGACUCGAAAAGAAAAAGUAUACCAGAAGAUCUCGAAGCGCUUGUCUGAACUCGGAAUCAACCAUAACGCUAAGCAAUGCCGUGAAAAGAUUAAGAAAAUGAAGCAAGACUACAAAAGGUCAAAGACCACAAUAAUCGCAGCGGUUCCGACCGACGGAGCGGCAAAUGGUUCGCCGCGAUGGACGCGAUUCUGGGACACCGACCGGAGUACUGCGGGAUUGUAGGCGUCAGAGACUCUUCUGUUCAUUUCUACGAAACAGAAAACAGCAUGAUCCCGCAGACAGAAGAACUGCCACCAGAAGAUGAAAAACCCAUCAUCCUGAUGCCUCCGAGCGUGGUGCAGCCCCUCGGCUCUUCCAGUCCCUCGGCCUUCCAGCCCCGCGUCCCUCCAGCUCAGCGGCGUCUUUUCCGUCCACCGCCUCCCCUCAUGUGCGCAAACACCUGAGAGGAAAAAGGAAGAGAGAUGAUUACUUUAUUGCUGCAAUGAUGGACAUGGAGCAGAGAACAGUGGAGGUGCUGAGACAAGGCCAGGAGGAGAGAAAUCAGCUGCUGCACCUCAUGCUGGAGCAUGACGCCCAGGAGGCCGCAGCACUACGAGAAGAGGCUGCCGCUCUACGGCACGAGUGGGAGGAAGAAAGACGUGAGAGGAGCGCCUUUCAUCAGGGAUUUCUGUGUGUCCUUGACCGGCUUGUCCAAGUCAUGGACAAGAGGAACCAGCAUCCAGUGAACUGAUGCUUUAUUGAGAUCCUCUUUUUCUUUUUUCUUUUUUUUUUGUCUUGCACUGGCAGCUUUGCACAUUUUUUAUAUAAAAGAGGAACUCUUAAAUUAUUUUUUAUCUGA